AGCGAACGCUGGCGGCAGGCUUAACACAUGCAAGUCGAGCGGGCAUCCUUGUGGUGUCAGCGGCAGACGGGUGAGUAACGCGUGGGAACGUGCCCUUCGGUUCGGAAUAACUCAGGGAAACUUGAGCUAAUACCGGAUACGUGCGAGAGCAGAAAGGUUUAUCUGCCGAAGGAUCGGCCCGCGUCUGAUUAGCUAGUUGGUGAGGUUACGGCUCACCAAGGCGACGAUCAGUAGCUGGUUUGAGAGGAUGAUCAGCCACACUGGGACUGAGACACGGCCCAGCCUCAUACGGGAGGAGGCGGGGGGGAAUAUUGAAAAAGGGGGGCACCCCUGACCCGGCCGGGCGGGGGGAGGGAUGCCGGCUUUGGGGUUGAAAAGCUCUUUUCCCCGGGACGAUAAUGAGGGUACCGGAGAAAAAAGCCCCGGCAAACUUCGUG
rnacentral:rRNA from 1 species